CGGGUGAGUAACGCGUGAGGAACCUGCCUCAAAGAGGGGACAACAGUUGGAAACGACUGCUAAUACCGCAUAAGCCCACGGCUCGGCAUCGAGCAGAGGGAAAAGGAGCAAUCCGCUUUGAGAUGGCCUCGCGUCCGAUUAGCUAGUUGGUGAGGUAACGGCCCACCAAGGCGACGAUCGGUAGCCGACCUGAGAGGGUGAUCGGCCACAUUGGAACUGAGACACGGUCCAA
rnacentral:rRNA from 1 species